UUGUGGAUUUUCAGCUUAUAAGGAAGGAAGCUGGUUGAGUGGACUUGGUUAGAUUGUUCCUGCGUAGUCAAGGUUAAAGUCUAUUAAUCUGAAUCAGAGGGUGGUAAAGGUUUUUUUUCGCGCAAUGUGUUUUGCCGUUUUAUUUCACGUGCAGCAGUGAAAAAGGUUCGUUAUUCAUCGUGAUUCGUAAAAUCGCUAAAAAAAUCGACGUGCAAGAAUAUUUUAAUUGUUUGUUCAUCGUGAAAUGGUAGUUUUAUUUCACGUUCUUCCGUGUAGAUACCCCCCCUUUUUAAGCCCCUUUGAAG
rnacentral:lncRNA from 1 species